rnacentral:lncRNA from 1 species
GGUUUGCAUAUUCAUGGAUAGUUAAUGAGAAUUUGAGUUGUGUUGGUGUUUUGGUGAAAAUGAAGAGUUAGCUCAAAUGUCAAGUGUUUUUAAGAUUGAAUGUGUCUCUGUGAGUCUUUUUAAUCAUAGUGACCUAUAAACAUGUCCUGAAAACGUAUUUUGGGAUUGGGGAAUCAAAUUGGAGGAUUUUGAGUGAAAGGGGUUCCAAACCCGUAACUUUUCUGCAAACCUGUGAAGGUUCGCUUAGAGGUUCGCUUAAGCGACCUGGUAAGCGAACAUUCAUAGUAUUUUACUGGGUUCAGUUCGCUUAAGCGAACUGUGAGCGAACGAGUGAGCGAAGAUUUCUAGUUGCUACUGGAACUCGUUCGCUUAAGCGAACAUGUCGUCGCUUAAGCGAACUGGUGAGCGACCAGCCAGCGACC